AUGCCUCGUCUACGCCAACAUGAGCGUGAUAGAGCUGUGGGAAUGGUACAAGCAGGUAUGCGUCAUAUUGACGUCGCAAACAACUUUGGUGUUUCUAAAUUGACAAUAACAAGAUUAAUGAGUCGUCUAAGACAGACUGGGUCCUCAAAUGACAGACGACGUAGUGGACGUCCAAGAGAAACAACUUUACGCCAAGACCGUCGAAUACGAUUUACACAUCUCAGGGAUCGGUUUUUACCAGCUACAAUUACCGCUAGACAAACACCUGGAAGGCAUAAUCCAAGGAUAUCCGCUCAAACUGUACGUAAUAGGCUAAGAGAGGCUGGUUUGCGUUCACGACAUCCAGUAGUAGGAGCCAUUCUAAAACAGCGUCAUCGAACUGCACACAAACGUUGGGCAAAUGCACGUUUGUAUUGGAACCGUGUUAGGUGGCAAAACGUCAUUUUUAGUGAUGAGUCAAGAUUUUGCUUACGUAAAAGUGAUGGCAGAAUGAGAGUGUACCGACGUCAAAAUGAACGUUAUGCAGACGCGUGUGUGCAUGAAUGUGAUCGCUUUGGUGGUGGUGGUGUGAUGGUUUGGGCAGGAAUCACGCAUUGUGGACGCACUGACUUGACGUUCAUUAACGGAAGCCUUACUGGAGUUCGUUAUCGUGAUGAAAUUCUCUCUCCGAUUGUACAACCAUUCAUUGCAAGGCAUGGAAAUCGGCAUACUUUCCAACAGGACAAUGCUAGGUGCCACGUGGCACGUGUAUGCACACAAUAUCUUGGACAAAAUAACAUUGACAUUCUUCCAUGGCCAGCUUUAUCGCCAGAUCUAUCACCCAUUGAACAUUUAUGGGAUGAACUUGACAAACGUGUUCGCAGACGUCAUCAACCACCAGAGUCGGUCAACCAGCUACGAGCCGCCUUAGUGGAAGAGUGGAAUAACAUUCCACAAGCAUUUAUUCAGCGAUUAAUUGGAUCAAUGCGUCGGCGAUUGACUGCUGUUAUUAACGCAAGAGGUGGCCAUACGCGAUAUUAA
rnacentral:sRNA from 1 species